rnacentral:rRNA from 1 species
GGAAAAGAAACUAACAAGGAUUCCCUCAGUAACGGCGAGUGAAGUGGGAAGAGCUCAAAUUUGAAAUCUCCGGUGCUUGCAUCGGCGAGUUGUAGUUGCGAGAAGCACUUUCUAGGUGGAUCGGCGGUGCCUAAGUUGCUUGGAACAGCACGUCGCAGAGGGUGACAACCCCGUCUGUGGCGCCGCCGGCCGCUGACGAUGUGCUUUCGAAGAGUCGGGUUGUUUGGGAAUGCAGCCCAAAAUGGGUGGUAAACUCCAUCUAAAGCUAAAUACUGGCGUGAGACCGAUAGCGAACAAGUACCGUGAGGGAAAGAUGAAAAGAACUUUGAAAAGAGAGUUAAAAAGUACGUGAAACCGUCGGAAGGGAAACGAAUGGACUCAGCAAUGCGCCCUCUGAGAUUCAGCCGCGUGGGUGGCGUCGGCGCGGGGUUUGCGGAUCUGAAUGGACCGCGGCCCGGCGCUCGCUGCUCCCCGCCGUCGCACUUCUCUGGGGCGCGCGUCAACGUGGGUUGGGACUGGGUCUGAAAGGUGCCGGGAAGGUAGGUGUGGGCCUUCGGGUCCGUUCUGUUACAGCCCGGUUCUCUCAUGGCUCGGGCCCGACCGAGGAGCAGACAGGGCAUGCCUCCUGUGGCUAGGGUCCCGUCCUUCCGGCCGGCUGUCCAGUGUGGUGGACUGCUUGCAGUGCUCUGCGACGGCUGCCGGUCGUUGGGGUGGUGAUCUCGUACCAUGCCCUUGGGAUGUUGGCGGUCAUAUGGGUGC